rnacentral:rRNA from 1 species
GAUGAACGCUGGCGGCGUGCCUAAUACAUGCAAGUCGAGCGAACGGACGAGAAGCUUGCUUCUCUGAUGUUAGCGGCGGACGGGUGAGUAACACGUGGAUAACCUACCUAUAAGACUGGGAUAACUUCGGGAAACCGGAGCUAAUACCGGAUGAUAUUUUGAACCGCAUGGUUCAAAAGUGAAAGACGGUCUUGCUGUCACUUAUAGAUGGAUCCGCGCUGCAUUAGCGAGUUGGUAAGGUAACGGCGUACCAAGGCAACGAUGCAUAGCCGCCCUGAGAGGGUGAUCCGCCACACUGGGACUGAGACACGGUCCAGACUCUUACGGGAGGCAGCAGUAGGGAGUCUUCCGCAAUGGGCGAAAGCCUGACGGAGCAACGCCGCGUGAGUGAUGAAGGUCUUCGGAUCGUAAAACUCUGUUAUUAGGGAAGAACAUAUGUGUAAGUAACUGUGCACAUCUUGACGGUACCUAAUCAGAAAGCCACGGCUAACUACGUG